rnacentral:lncRNA from 1 species
UUCGGGCUACAGUUUGGCUUACCAACUGGCGGGAUAAAGUAGGUGCCAUCAUAAUUUAUAAAUCGACUCGUGACAGGGCUACAAUUUGGCACCAGAUAUCCCAGGUGUGGAAAAAACAACUGUGAAAAAUGAAAAAAUCAUCAAAAAAUAAUGAUAGUUUGUGAAGAUUUCUACAGAAAAAUUCCUUGAUCUUUUUGAAACGAAGGGAGUAGUAUGUUUAUAUCCUUGGCCUCCUUUUCAUCCUCACCACUUAUCCAUCAUUCAGAUUUCUCUAAUCUCUUAUUUUUUAUGUUUUUUUGUGUGUUUUCUU